rnacentral:ncRNA from 2 species
AGUGUAUAGAGUUAUUACCUUCGUAUAUCCUUGGGAAUAAGGCCUAAGAGUUUCUACCGGAUUUCCUUAAAAAAUCUGACUAUGAAGGCAGAAUAAAUCAAG